rnacentral:ncRNA from 1 species
UAAUUGAUAAGUUGGAGCACGCAAUGAAGCUGUUAUGUUCGGUAAAGCGAAUGAUCAGAGGAAUUGUGAGACGAAACGUCUUCAUCUUGUUCUCAAACUUCCAAUGAGGAUGACUCUUGCUUGCAUGAAUGAAGCGUAGACAUUAAAUGUGUGCUCCAAACUAAGCUAUUUUCGGCAAGCAAAACUGGCUUUGCGGAAUGGACCA